rnacentral:rRNA from 1 species
CCUGACGCAGCAACGCCGCGUGAGUGAUGAAGGUCUUCGGGUUGUAAGACUCUGUGUUUAGGGACGAAAAUGACGGUACCUAAGGAGGUUGCCGCGGCCCCCUACGAGCCAGCCGCCGCGGUUAUAAGCCUAGCCGCCGCGGUAAU